rnacentral:lncRNA from 1 species
GCUGUGAGAAGGCAUACCCUCUGAGGCAGUGGUAAUAUUCUGUGCCACAAACAGCCAAAAUGUCAAUGCCUAUAAUUCUCUUAGCAGUGGGAACCACAGUCCCUGUUUAGUGCAUGUAUUUGGGUCGUAGGGAUUCACUGUUCAUUACAGCAAGCCAUUAAACAUCAGAUACAACAGAGCCAUCUGUCUCACUGGAUCUCUUCUUACCAGAAAAUUGGAUGGUAUAAAUAAUAUACUUACAAAAAAAACUACAGUUACUAGGGAAUAUUAAGUUCAUAAGAUGGAAACACACAAAUCCAAGACAUUUAUUAAUUCAUUCCACAUACAUGUAUCACAGGCUACCGCCAUGUGCUGGGAGUUCAGUUAUAAACAAAAUAAACAAAUGCCCCUACCCUCAAGGGGCAUCUGGAGGAGGGAGACUACAAAUAGGAUAAAUUCAUAAAAUAUAUUGUUUUAAAAAUAGUUUUUAAGAGAAGUUUAAGUCUACGGCAAAUUGAACAGAUGGUAUGAAGAGUUCUUAUAUAUCCCUGUCCCCACAUAUGCAUAGCCUCCUUCCAGUUUGUUGUUGUUGUUGAUUCUAGAAGUGUUCUUUAUAGUUGAAAUUAAAUAGUUAUCUUACUUCAAAAGAAUAGAUCCUAAAAUAUUGUGCAUAUGUGGCAAUAUAUUUCUAAAACCGCAUUCACAAAAUACUUACAUACCAGUCAGAAUUCUAUUGCCUUCUGUUUCCCAAAAUGAGUCAAUGUCAAUAACAGUCUUUUUAUGUUACCAAUUUGUUAAAAUAUUCACAGACUCAUAAUAGAAUACACAUUAAGUACAAAUGUCUAACUCACUGUGUUAGUUUGUAGUUACUACGUUUAGAAGGUUGUUUUUUUUUUUUGUCAUGCUAGGUUGCCUCUGUGCAUCAAUCUAAAUUGAUGAUUUUGUUUUCCUUGGAAAACUUUCUUCCUUUAUCCGUGAAACACUACUCUUGUGUGCUUUUUCUCAGUUUAGUCUUACAAAUUCUUUUAAUUAUUUUUCGCCAUUUCCUUUCCUACAAACAGUUAAAUACAGGUCUGUAUUUCUUUCUUUCCCAGGCAACUUGUUCUGAUGAAUAUUUUCCUUCCUUUGCCUGUUUUUUUUUUAAUCUAUCCAUCAUCCAUACAUCCAUCUAUCCACUAUUAUUAACAUCCAUCUAUCCAUUAGCAAAGAUUCAUUCAGAAGCUAUGUGCCAGGCACUAAGUUAGGUAUCAAGGAUAUUGACAGAAGACAGAUGUAGUUCCUUCCUAAUUCUAGAUAAGCGAAACACAUGAACAAAAAUGAAGUCUAUAAAAUAUUUAUGAUAGCCUGUGGCAGAAAAUAGUGUAUGGAGGGUGGAGGACACUAAGAAGGAGAUGAUUCUCCCAGAAAGGUAAAGCAUAAGAUACAUAAAGAAAAUGUUAUGAUUCUUAACACAGGGCUUAACGUAGUACACAUUUGUUGAAUGAAUAAAUAAGUAAAUUUACCAAGUUUGAGGUUCAAAACUGACAUUUUCUUAUUUAAAAUUGGGAAGGAAUAAUGUUAAGGUAAAAAACAUUAGGGUAAGAUUGACAUCACCAAAAGUAUGUACUUACUAAAUGAAAAAACGUUUUGCUCUAGUUAAAAUUCUUGGCAUAUAUUUUAUAGAGUGACCUAAAUUUUUGUAAAAUCUGAAAUGUGUUAACUAUAUAGGAAAUAAAAAUAAUAUGCAUUUCACAGGGAAACUUUAUUCAAGGGAAAAUUAGAAAUUAUUUAUUACUUAAUGGUAUCUCUUAUAAGGAACUCAGAAUAACAUAAACUGACAAAAAAUUGUGUGGGAAAAUGUUAUUGGACUAAAAAGAAACCCCUAGUUUUUUUUUACUUUUUGUGAACUAGCCUCACAUAAACCAACCUUGAAUUUUAAAUAGGGUAUUAAGCAUUUAAGCUUGCCCAAGAUCUACUAUCCUGUACACAAAUGUACAACUAUUUUUGUCACUCUUCUAUAGAGCUAGCAUUCUGGACAAAUUUAACAGGAAUGUUUUUGAAAAAAAAGUGGAUAAAUGUCAUUCAAAGUGCAAGAAAGCUGAGGAAAAUUUUACUAAUUCAAAAAAGAGUGUAAACUUGUUACUUUUAACACAAAAUUUUAAAAUAUUUUUGGUGAUUAAGAAAAUCAUUGAUCAAUAUAAAUAGGGGCAAAUAUGAAGUAGAAAGAGUUUUAAAAUAUCACUCUUUAUACUCAAUUUCCUUCUUUCAAAUGCUUAUCUAUUAUUCUUGAUCUGUUAUAAUAGUCUCUUGACCAGCAGCUACUUAAGCCCAGUGUUUGAUUUUCCCCAUUAACCCUAAAAUAUUUAUUGAUUGUCUAGCUAACAAUGGUUUUCCAGGGCAUACAUGCUAUAAACACAAGUUUAGGAACCAAAACUCUUUCUGAUAUGCUAGCAAUUAACAUUUUAACAUUUCCAUAAUACACAGUGUAUCAGUUAGGGCUAGGUUUUAUGAAAGAAAAGAGGCCCAAAAUAACAGUGGCUGAAAGAAGACAAAUGCAUCUGUCUUUCAUUUACAAUUCUUAAGGCAAGUAAUCAGGUGCUGGCCUAGCAGCUUUGCUACAUAAAGCCCAUGGAGACCUGACCCCUUUCCACUUCUAUGCUUUGCCAUCACUAUACAUGGACUCCAAUUGUCAUAGGCCAAAAUGAAGCUCAAGUGUUGACAGUUAUGUUCCAAGUAAAUUUUAUGGGGGAAGAAGGAAAGAAGAAGAAAAGAAAACAUGCUGCCACACAACAUUUCUGCUUCUGUCUCUUUAGCUAGGUCUCAGGCAUAAGCACAUACCUAAUUUAAAUGGAAUUUAAGAAUUCAGUCUCCAUCCAAGUGUACAUGGGCCAAGCUAAAUGCAAUGACUGUUACAGAAAGAGAAUGAUACUGUGAGAUAAUUGUCCAUAACUCAUAGAGUUGUUGAUAGGAUCAAAUGAGUUAAUAAAGGAAAAGCCCUGAGAGUUUUAUGUCUGACAUAUAAUAAACACUGUUCAUAGGAUACCAACAAGACCAUUCAAUAAAUCAUGGCACCCCAUUUUCUGAGCAUUUGAGUCCAUGAAUAUUUAACCAUACAGAGUUGUUUCCCUGCAUUUUCUGUAUUGGUUAGAAUGUGUCAUUGGCACUAAAGAGAGAAUUUUAAUAAAUAUUGAAGUCAUUGGAAAGAAAGGAUGAGGAGAGUGAGCCCUAGGAUAAAAAUGUGGGUCAGCAGAAGAGUUGGAUCUGCAGGACAAAAACUGUCUUAUACACAACUACCCAGAUCUGGGAGGGAAUCAAAGCCAGGUGGCAGCUAAUGCGGUGUUUGGAAUGUGAUAGCAGAACUCAGUUGCAGUUGACUAGUCUCUUCCUCUUAAAUAACAUCAUGCAUUUUAAUGGUUUUAUACUGAAUGUUUAAUGGCACAUUUUAUAAGUUGAAACUGCCAUCUUCUCAAUUUCAUUUGUCAUUUGGAUGCCAGAAGCCCAAAACUUCCUUUCAUAUAAUUCUCCUGAGAAGUCAACCUCAUUGAAAAAUACUUGUUUUUAUCUGUUCACAUGAAUAUAUACAUUAACAUUCAAAGGAAUAGUUUUCUUUACCUUCAUAUUAACAAGUUCCACACCUAUGUUUUCAACAACUGGAUUUCAUGUUAGAUUUGAUAUUUUACUAUUUCCAGAUCAUAAAUUUGAAAGCCUUCUUACCAAUCCCUUUUUGAUCACUAAGAAUUUCUACUACAUUAAAAUUAAAAUUAAAAUAAAGAAUUAAUUGCAUAUUUGUUACCCAAUCACAUGUAUUUAUAGUGCUCCAUAACAUAAAUGUUUCAGGAGAUGAUUGCUCUUCUUUUACCUCUUGGUUUUCCAUGCCUCAGAGAAAAGUCCUCUGCCACUUGACAGUUUUGUAGUUCUUGUCAAUACUUGACAUGUGUCUAACUCCCCUGUGGCCUACUCUACUAGCUAAACUAGAAGAUAUCAGCGGCUCAACAUAAAAUGAGAAACAUGUGGAAAGUCAGUUUAUCUUUAUUACUCUAAAAAAAAUAUAGACCCUCUGUUUUCUAUUGCGAAAAAUAGAGUACAAAUAGUCUAGAUUAUUGUGAGGAUUUUAUGAGCGUCUUCUGUAAAAGUGCCUCAUAUAGAGUAAGUUUAUAAAAAUAAAAUUUAGCUAGUCUACUUCAGCCUGAACUUGAUGAGAGAAUGAAUGAUAAAUAUUAACCUCUUAUUUAAUUCGUACUGCUGUGCCCUCCCUAAAGGAAAUUCCUUGGGUUCAGGCAUUCAGAGGUAACCUCUACUUUGGAGGACAUGUUUAGUAGUUUGAAAGUCCUCAGGCACAUUCUGCAGGAGUCCCAAAGUCUGUUUGCCUGGGGUCUUCUUGCCAGCUGAGUAGUCCUCUUGGCCACAUACUGUCAAGCUGGCCUUAGCCAUCGUCUACAGUAUCCGCUUGGCUCACAGGAAAUCACGCAGCCUUGCUGAGCCAAAGGAGGGGAAAACUGGCUGCCUCACCAUAGACUGUUCUCUCAGUCUAAAUAUCUCUUUUACUUCUCUUUUAUUCCAUUUCUUCCUGCUUAAAUACAACAGAGGGUAAAACAGCAAUGUCUAACUAUAAAAUGAGUUAAACAGUGCUAGCCUUUCAUUAUAGCAGGUAGUCCCAAUUUCUAAAAGAGCUUCCUGUGGAUUCUCUUUCCUUCAGGUUUCUCACCAUCUGGUGUUUAGCUCAUCUCCUUUUGCUGUGUCUUCUCCAUCAUAUUGGUAUUUCCAAGAUCUCAAAAGAAAGAAAGUGAAGUUCUUAGUCAGGACUCACUGUCCUUCAAUUUUCCUAGGUGACUACUCACAUAGGCUUUGGGGGUGAGUGUGUUGGUGUCUGCACAGUGAAUUGGGUCACCUCUUAACAAACCCUGCAAGGGGUGUCUUUCUUUCCUUCCUCUUUCAAAUGUGAGAAUAUACUUAGCAGCUAUUGUUUUCAACUUAGAAGACCAGAGCUGAAUUUCUGAGAUGUCAGAAAAUGUCCCUUCAGUAUUUUGUUGCUAUUUCUGAAGGAAUUUCAGGCAAGAACAUACAUUAGAACAGAGAAAUGUGUGCUAAUACCUCAUGAAGUCUUCUGGAACAAGUGACAACUCUGCC